UACGAAGGGGGCUAGCGUUGCUCGGAAUCACUGGGCGUAAAGGGUGCGUAGGCGGCUUAUUAAGUCAGCGGUGAAAGACCAGGGCUCAACCCUGGAACUGCCAUUGAUACUGAUAAGCUUGAGUAAAGUUGAGGUAGGCGGAAUUGACGGUGUAGCGGUGAAAUGCUUAGAUAUCGUCAAGAACACCGAUUGCGUAGGCAGCUUACUAAGCUUUAACUGACGCUGAGGCACGAAGGCCAGGGGAGCAAACGGG
rnacentral:rRNA from 1 species